rnacentral:rRNA from 1 species
AGAAUCAACGCUGGCGGCGUGCCUAAUACAUGCAAGUCGAACGCGAAAGUCCCGAAAGGGAUAAGUAGAGUGGCAAACGGGUGAGUAACACGUGGGUGACCUGCCUUCGAGUGGGGGAUAACGUCUCGAAAGGGACGCUAAUACCGCAUGAGCAUCCUGCCUUUGAACAGGUGGAGAUUAAAGCCGGGGAUCGCAAGACCUGGCGCUUGAAGAGGGGGCCCGCGUCCGAUUAGCUAGUUGGUGGGGUAACGGCUCACCAAGGCAACGAUCGGUA